rnacentral:rRNA from 1 species
AUGAUGCUCCGGCUCGUCCGUGAAGCUAGGAGGGCGGUGGCUUCCUCGGAGUUGCUUGGCAGGGCAGGCGGCAGGCGGUGGCUAUGCACGGCGAUGAAGGGAAGGCUGGAGGGAAAGAUUGCGCUGAUAACCGGAGGAGCAAGUGGGCUGGGUAAGGCCACAGCCCACGAGUUCAUCCAAGAGGGCGCCUCUGUAGUUCUCGCCGACAUCAAUUCCCAGAUGGGCCUCCAAACAGCCGAGGAACUCGGCCCGCAGGCCCACUUCAUCCACUGCGACGUCAUCCUCGAAGACAGCGUGGCCGGGGCAGUGGACGCCGCCAUCGCGAGGCACAGCCGGCUCGACGUCAUGUUCAACAGCGCCGGCGUCGUGGGAUCCCUCUCCGGCACGUCGGAGAUGGCAACCCUGGACCUGGACAAGUUCGACGACAUCAUGCGCGUGAACCUGCGCGGCACGUUGGCAGGGAUCAAGCACGCCACGCGCGUCAUGGCGCCGGCGGGCUCCGGCUCCAUCCUCUGCAUGGGCAGCAUCAGUGGUAUCAUGGGGUGCCUCGGCUCGUACCCCUACUCGCUUUCCAAGCUCGCCAUUGCCGGCAUCGCGAGGACAGCAGCCGUGGAGCUCGCCCGUCACGGCGUCCGCGUCAACUGCAUUUCGCCACACGCCAUCGCCACACCUAUGGUGGUGCAGCAGUUCUCGCAGAUGCUCCAGGGCGCCGACGAGGCCACGGUGACGGCAAUCAUCCGGAGCCUCGGCGAGCUCAAGGGCGCUGCGUGCGAGGCCGUGGACGUGGCCAGGGCUGCCGUCUACCUCGCCUCCGACGACGGCAAGUACGUGUCCGGACACAACCUGGUGGUGGACGGUGGGUUCACCACCUACAAGUAUAUGAACGUGCCGUUCCCCAAGCCGCAGGACAGCGAGUAA